ACCAGGGGACUACGAAUAAUAAUUUAAAUUUAAAACCCAAAGGGCUUGGCGGUGUUUUAGACUACUUAGGGGAGCUUGUUUCAUAAUCGACAAUCCACGAUAAACCUAACCUCCUUUUGCUUUCAGUAUGUAUACCGUUGUCGUCAGGUAACUUUUAAAAAUAAAAAAGCUAGCAAAUAAGCUUUAAGCUUACACGUCAAAUCAAGGUGCAGCCUACAAGGAGGAGAGAAUGAGCUACAAUUAAAACUUAUAAUAUGAAUAAAACUUAGAAAUAGAAUUUGAAGGAGGACUUAAAAGUAAAAAAGUAAACAUAAAAAC
rnacentral:rRNA from 1 species